AUUUACUAUAGAAGUGUUUCUCUGAUGUGUAUAAUUAUAAAUAUUUCUUACACAUGUAUAUUUUUGUAUUUUUGCAUGCCUAUUCAAAAUCUUUUAGUUGUUUUGCAGUACUGAGUUACAUUUUUCGCUUGUGAAAUUAAAAAGUAAAGCCGACCCACAAUACACCAUGUGGGCUCGUAGGGGGAGAACAUUAUUAUCCAUGGUACUAGAUAGGGAUGAGUGGUCAGACUCACGCCCCUGCCGCACUUUACCCUCGCGGGGGGAGGGGGGAGAAUCGCGAAACCGUGAUACUCAUUGGAUAGGAAGUAGGUUGGGCUGACGUGUUGUACAAGGAAAAUCCUGCUCUUUCGGAGAUCGAACCCCGGUCUAGUUAUCUCUUCACCACGCUAUAUCCCCUGCUCAUCUUAUAUAUAACUUGAUUUGACAAUCGUGGUUUGUACUGUGCACAAAUUAUUGAGCUCAUUAAGCAGUACUUUCUGCUGACGUUAUUUCCAUUUUAACCAGGCUAUUGUCACGGCUUCUUAGAUGACACCUGAAUGUGUUGUAAAAUUGUAAUUGGCGUCGGAGAAUUUUGUGUCAGUGUAUGUCGGAAGCAAUAAAAGUAUACCACAAUAUGGAUGUAAUUAAAGUGGAACCUGAUUCAGAUUGUGAAACUCAUGUGACAUCAAUCUGCAAUGAUGUGAAAGAGGAAAAACAGUGUAUGCCCACAAUUAAACAAGAAGAUGAGCCUAAUUUAGAUUUGAACUACUCACACCCUGAAUCAGAUAAGAGGAACAUAAUAUACUUUGUCAGUGAGGUGAAGGAAGAAGAGGAUCCUAUAUCAGUACCUGCGCCUAUAAUAAAGACUGAAAUUGGGGACACUACACUGGUCAAGGAAGAGUGGAAGGAUGAAGUAGAAACGGAGGAUUAUCAGAUACCUGUGAACAAUUCAUUGAUCAUACAACAAGAAAGUUGUUUCCCUGCUGACUACAUGAAACAAGACAUGCAUAUAUAUAACCAGAAUGAGCAUGUCACAGAAGCUAAUGUGUAUAAUAACACUUAUGGGCAUUUGGACAUGAAUGCUACAGGCUGUCUUAGUGCAAAAGUAAUUCCAGAGUGUAGUACAGUGAAGGAUGGGACAAUUCACCACUGUAAAAUGUGUAGCGAAACAUUUUCAGAUAUAUAUGAUCUCAAUGUUCAUAUUCGUAAUCACACGGGAAGAAAUUUUCACAAGUGCAAUGUCUGUGAUGAAACAUUUUCGUACAGCAGUGCUCUGAAGGUGCAUUCCCGUUAUCACACAGGCGAAAAGCCAUAUAGUUGUGAUGUGUGCCAUAAAACGUUUCAAACAAAAGGUAAAAUGACAAUUCACAAUCGUGUCCACACGGUAGAGAAGCCUUAUGCUUGUGAACUCUGCAGUACAACAUUCUCCUCUAGUUCAGAUCUGAAGAAGCAUAUGCGCAUUCACACAGGGGAGAAACCUUACUCCUGUGAUGUGUGUAACAAAAGAUUUACAAGAAGUUCUUCCUUGAAAAGUCAUUACCGCCUACACACAGGAGAGAAACCAUAUACAUGUGAUAUAUGCUGUAAGUCAUUUUCCCAUAGUUCGAAUUUCCAUGAACACUAUCGGACGCACACAGGUCUGACACCAUAUAAUUGUGACAUUUGCAAGAAGAAAUUCAUAAAUAGUUCAGAGCUAAAGAAACACAUGCGUAACCACACAGGCGAAAAGCCAUAUUCUUGUGAAGUGUGCGAGAAAAAAUUUUCUACAAAAUUUUCUUUGAAAGCACAUAAGUAUGUUCACUCUGGUGACAAGCCGUUUGCUUGUGAUAUAUGUGGGAAAAAAUUUGUUAACAGAAGCGAACUUGCAAGACAUUUUCGCGUUCACACAGGUGAGAAACCUUCGAUUUGUGAUGUUUGUGCUAAGAUGUUUUCAUCCAGGUACAACCUUUUGGUACAUUAUCGUAUUCAUACUGGUGAAAAACCAUAUGAUUGUGAUAAAUGCAAAAAGAAGUUCUCUAGCAAGAAUGAUCUCAGUAAACAUUUACAAAGUCACACUGGAGAGAAACCGUACAGUUGCAGUGUCUGCAUGAAGAAAUAUCAAAAUCGCUCGAAACUGAAUCAGCAUUUUCGGCUGCACACUGGAGAAAGUAACUUUACUUGUGAUGUAUGUCAAAAGAGAUUUUCGAAUACCUGGAAUCUAAAAUGUCAUUAUCGUAUUCAUUCGGGAGAGAAGCCAUAUGCUUGUGGCAGCUGUGAAGAGAAAUUCUCUUCUAGUUGGAAUCUGAAGAAGCAUAUUCAGGUUCAUGAUCAACAAGCGACUUUGAAGUGUGAUGAAUAGAUAAAUUCCUCUAUGCAGUGGUUAAAAUUUACAGUUAUCCAUAAUCUGUUGUACAUUUUAUCAAGGUAUUUAAUUUUUUGAUGAAAGACUCUCGGGCUACAAGCUGCGUCAGGUGGCUGCGUAACAAACUGGUCCUCUGUAGUCCACAACAUUAGAUUCAACUUAAGAAGAUUAAAAUACACCCAACACAUCCUCGACCAUGGAUAUGAAUACAACCCCAUGGAAGAUAUCAUGGACAUGUUAAGAAUAGCCUCGAAAGUUGUUACAUAACCAACAAUCAAUAGAAGAAGCAUAACAUUGUCCGUUUUUUCAUGAGUGAAGCUUUCAAGAUUUGGCACACAUUUUGACAGAAAGCCCAUAGUUGGAACACAUAUUUUUAAAGCCCAAUAUGGAGUUCAUUAAAGUGGAACCUAAUACAGAUGGUGAGAUACAACCAACAUUUUUUCUCAGUGAUGUUAAAGAAGAACAGGAUUGUUUAGCUCUCAUGAGUACUGAAGGUGUGCAUUGCUUGCAGUUAAUCAAUUUAGAAUGUGAUUCGAAGGAUGGUCAGCAUGUACCUAUUACAAUUCCUCCAGUUAAAACUGAAACCCAGGAUGAAGAUAAUAUGAUUGAUGUAGAAUGGGAGAAUGAAGUGAAAUCACAAGACAGAGCGGAGCAGCUUAUCAGUCAACUAGGUGGUGUUUCCGAAGGCAUCUCUUCAACAAGAAGUGUCGACUAUCAGCAUGGAUACUUGAUUCAUGACUUACAUAGUGGGGAUGGAGAGGAGGGGUUGAUCAUUCAACCAGAUGGUACUUCUAAAGGCAGCUCUUCAGCAAACCUUGAUUCUAGUAUUGACCACCAACAGGAUUGUGUAACAAGUGACUUAUGUAAUGGGAAUGAAGAUGAACUCUGUAACAUUCCAGAAGGCGGGUCUUCAACAGAACUUGACUCAAGUGUUGACUCCCAACAAGGAUAUGUUACAUGCGAUGUAUGUAAUGGGUCUGGAUAUUUAAUGCAUGGAUUACCAGUCAUCAGAAAAGUCCAUCUCUGUUAGUCCCCUAUGAGGUCAGUCUCAGUUUUGUCAGUUCUUGCAGAAGUCACUAAUUCUGUUGAUAUAACAUCUGUAGUCCCCACUGGAACUGUGUAAAGGGGAACACAUAUUUGCAUGUAAGUUUCAUGGUGAUGUAAUUUACGAAAAAGAAGUGAAUUUUUAUAUGUAAAUAAAGCAUGUGACACCAUUUUUGUAACAUACCAAUAAGAUGAUUGCUAUGUUUUUCUUUUUAUCAUUUAAUUGAAUUUUCUUCUAAAGAUAUUACAUAUCACUCAUUGACUCUCCUAGUAAUGCGAGGUGAAGAAAAUAAAGCAUUAAGUUUCUCA